UAGAGGGGCGCCAGGAUGCUUCGCUCAUCCAAAGAAGGAUUGCCGAAGCUGCCGAGAAAACACAACAGAGACGAACAAGAGAAGUCGAAGGUGAAACACACUCAGCCCCCUUCAUUCGACCCGCCAACAUCAGGAUCAAUCAUCCAAAGAAGCAGAAGUCAUCAAACCGUGUCGUAAGGCCCCACACUAUUUACAUUAUUUUGCAUGGGCAACCACAAUUAAGACAAAAAAAUAAUAAAAAACAAUUUAAAUAAUAAUCAUAAUUGCUGAAGAAAUUAAAUAACUAUACAAAAAAAAAUCUAAAUAAGAGUAAAAACUCUGCUUUGAGCCUGUCUGGGCUACUUGAAUUCCAGAUGGAGAAUAAUAAUUUAUCCCUAGAGCUUGUUAGUGAAUGUCUGAUAUUUUUGUAUAAACUGCAUCAGAUCUCCUAGCUUUAGACCUUUCAUAGGGUCUUUGGAAUUAUAUUUGUAAUAAAUAUCCUUCUGUGUGCAAGCAAAGAAGUGAAAGCAAUGAUGUGUGUACAACUUUUCCUAAUUAUGAGGUAGUUCCCUUCACUGACACCAAAUAUAGUCAUUGCAGCUUUGGGUUGUGGAUUAGUAUUUAACCACCGUGACAAACAGGAAGAACUAUUCGAGGAAUAGAUCUUCCUCAAAACUAAAGAAGUAGAAACUACCAGUUGAUUAACUACAGAUAUUGUCACAUUCUUACUUUAGUUGAAGACAUUAAUUGCCAUUCCUUUUACUCCCCUCUCCCCCAUUUUUCAUCGUUGCAUCUGCAAGCUGCAUCUGCGCCUCUGUUUUCGUCUCAUGCUCCGCUUCUUUUCCAUAAUCUCCUCCUUCUCAGCUGUUCUCUCGUAACAACACACGCAGCAAUAACUUUGUUGAAAUAAAAUUCUUCGACAGGCUUAAAUCUCUGACUUCAGAGUUUGUUUGUUUUUCUCAACUUCUCAGUUUGUGUCGCACCAAAUGCUGCUCCAAAACCGCUAGCAGCAGAAGCACGAUCGUUUUCUGUGUCGAGUUGUUUUUUUUGUUUGUUUUUUUUUUUUUUGCACAAACAUGCAACAUUGUACGGGUUGAUAACGGCAAAAACGAACAUCCUCCCAACUGGCAAUAAAUUUGCAGUCGACUCAAACUGUUGCCUGAUGGAAACUCCUAUGAGGAAAAAAAAAAAACCUACAUAAAAUAUACAAAAUUAAAUAGUCCUGCCACUACAAUAUUUAAGACACAUGGGGAAUGUUUUUAAUACCAUCUUACAUGUUUUUAAGUGGAUUUAAGACUUUUAAAGGCCUUGAUUUCAAGAUUAAGGCUUUUUAAGGAGGUAUGAGUUAUUUAAGGUGCUGAGGUUUAUUAGAGAAUAAUCCUCAUCAUACAUCCAAUGUAGAACCAACAUUCCCUCAUUCCACCACAACAGCAAAAAGGAAGUGAUUCAAUGUUCAGAUAAAGAUCUGCUGCUGCUUGGUCUAGAAGUAAAAAAAAAAAAA